ACACACAGUGCGGCUGGCUGCCGCCCGGCACCGACCACGCCUGCCGCGACCAUAUCUUUAGCUACGUCAAGAAAACCCUGCUCGACACACAUAGCGCCGACUUGAAGCUUGAACAAGCGAGCAGCGAUGACGAAGUUAACUCAGAUGACGCCUCCGCCAGUGCCAAUGUUACGGAAAACGACGAGCCAUCCACCUCGAAUACAUAAUCUACAUUCAA